GAGGAGGAGAAGAAAAAGAGGAGGAGCUUGCUUGAGGGAGCUUGGAGCUUCAACCCUUUCUCUCCUUCCCACCCUUGCAAGGCUUGGAGCUUGCUUGUAGGGCUUGGUGGUGGACCAAUCUUCAACCCUAGAAGAUUUGGAGCUUGUUUGGAGGCAUCUAAAGAGGUUGGUACUUUGAUUCUAACCUUUGACCCUUGUAUUGGUAGGUUUUUACCAUAUGAAACCCUAGAAUGGAAUUUUAGGGUUGAUUUUGGGGCUUUUUGAUCUAGGGCUUUUGAGGCUCAAUAUCUUGGUUUAGGACCUUCCUUUGGAUUGGAUUGGAAGGAUUCUAGCUCUCUUUUGGAGCUUGAGAGGGAUUAUCUACUCCCUAGGUGAGUUUUUGUCCUUUUUCUUGUGGUAGUUAAUGUUUGAGCCUAGAGUUGCUCGUAAUGUUUGUUUAUCUCUUCGCUCAUUACUUUUAGGGUAUUUAGAGACUUGUGGACAACUCCGUUCGAUGAAAUGAGGGACUCCGAAGCGGUUCGGUGGGUUUGACCUAGCCACACAAUGAGAAAAUCUCAUUUGUGAUGAUUUGAGUCUCGUUAAAUGAAAAAGCAUG
rnacentral:lncRNA from 1 species